rfam:Lupinus angustifolius cultivar Tanjil chromosome LG09, whole genome shotgun sequence.
AGGUGCGAUCAUACCAGCACUAAUGCACCGGAUCCCUUCAAAAUUCCGCAUUUAAGCGUGCUUAGGCGAGAGUAGUACUAGGAUGGGUGACCACCUGGGAAGUCCUUGUGUUACACCUC